rnacentral:misc_RNA from 1 species
GAGCCCGUGCAGCAGCUGGGACGUCAAUCCCGAAAGGAGCUAGUGCAUCCUUCAGGUCUAAUGACUCCCAUGUGAAGCUCAAGAUCAAGUCUUUCAGAGUUCCUGAACUUUUUGUUGAGAUUCCGGAAAAUGCAACUGUUGGUUCUUUAAAGAGGACCGUAAUGGAGGCAGUGACGGCAAUACUUGGUGGUGGGCUGCGAAUUGGUGUAGUUUUUCAGGGUAAGAAGGUUAGA